CGUGCAGGUGGUUUUGUAAGUGGUGCGUGAAAGCGCUCGGCUCAACCGGGCGAGGCCGUGCCAAACUGCGAGACUGGAAACAGGCAGAGGAAAGUGGAAUUCGGGGUGUAGUGGUGAAAUGCGUAGAGAUCCCGAGGAACUCCAGUGGCGAAGGCGACUUUCUGGGCCUGCUUUGACACUCAGACGCGAAAGCAUGGGGAGCGAACGGGAUUAGAAACCCCGGUAGUCCAUGCCGUAAACGAUGUCUACUGGGCGUUUGCCUCGCAAGAGGUGAGUGCCGCAGCCAACGCGAUAAGUAGACCGCCUGGGGAGUACGACCGCAAGGUUAAA
rnacentral:rRNA from 1 species